ACUCUUCACAGUAUCAUUACCUUAAUUAAAUGGCUUAAGAGUGAGAAUCUCAAUAUCAGAAGGUGCCAGCUCACUGCCACCUCUUCACACCAUGAUCAGGAUCCUCCUCCGCAAGCCCUCCCAGGUGGCACUCUCUAUGCGGAGGCCAUAAGGAUGGUCCAGGCCCACAUUCUCUUUUCCUGAACACUUGGACAUCCCUCAGCUUGUCAUCCUCACAGGUCUUCCUCUUCCUUAGCUGUGUGUUCCUCUGGAGACUGCAGGCACAACUGAAUACUUCA
rnacentral:lncRNA from 1 species